GAUACUUCAUAGAUAAUUGAUAAACAAAGUCAUUUAUUUUCUCAACAAAAGCUGUGUCUUCUUGGCUAAAUUAAAGUUUUGGUAAUCCAAUUUAUUCUCUUAACCCAAGAGAGCAAGCAAUUGAUUUCAUUUUCAUUUUCAAUCAUGAAAACCUUGUCACAUUUCAUUCUUGCUCUCUGAAUUAUUAGGUUUCAGUUCUUGUUUCCACAUGCUUUAUAUGCACAAGUCAAGUUUAACCUGAAAGAUAUUAAAGUGGAUUUGCAGCGAAAUGGCACAUAUCUAGGAAAUUUGUCUUAUUGCCUCUUAACUCCUCUUUUGUUUAAUGUGCUUAUUGGUAUUUUCCUAGGACUGUGCUGGUGCUGCGUGACGGCACAUUUCUGCUGACGGCCCUGAACUUUCAGACAGAUGCUCUGUGAAUCAGGCGAGAGGGAAUCUUUAAUUAACGCCUUAAGACUGGGAAUGGAAACAAAGAACAGGAAGGUUGUAAGAUGGAUCUGGCUGUCAAAACAAAAUGAAACAAAAAUCCCAACAUGCUCUGCCCCAGCAAGCAUCACUCUGUCCUACACUGGGCUCUCGCCCGCUCUCAUGCAGAAAUAAGGGCCUGGAACUGGAGACCACAGAGGACAAUUUAAUAUGGAAGAAAGCAAUGAAACAACUUUCCACAGAAAUUCUCUACCCAGAGCACCCUAGUGCCUCAUUCCUGCCUCUAUCAUUAGAGCUGCUUUCAAAUCCCCCAUGAUCUUAAAGUCCCUUGGAAGGGCUUGAAAGCUUCUCAGGUAUGCUGUCCCGUGUGCCCCUGACUGUCCAUUCCCUGCGGUGCAGAGACUGCAGCCUCUUUUGAUUUCUCUCAGUGUCAAAUACAAAGCCCUGCUCACCACAGCUACUCAAAAUCCAGGCAUUCAGAUAUUAUCUAAUCUCCCUAAAUGGCAUUUUUGUGACACACAGAGUGAGUGCUGUUGUCUUGCUAUUUUAUAUGCUUGAAACUUGAGUCGGCGUUCUUAAAUUGAUUGGCCAAGAAAACAAAGUGGUCAAGCUGAGACAAGAUCAUGAAUCUUUGGUUUUCCAUUCAAAUUACAGAGCUAAAGAAAAAAAGAAAUGGAGAUUUUCCUUCCAAGCUUACAAAAACUGCUUUAACUAAGUAUGAUUUUAUAAGAUCCCAAGCCAAUUGAAAUAUUGUCAUUUGUAAUAAUAAAACCUAUAUAUGAUUAGCA
rnacentral:lncRNA from 1 species